rnacentral:rRNA from 1 species
GAAGAUGGUGCUAUACAUUCAAGUCGAGCGGACAGAUGGGAGCUUGCUCCCUGAUGUUAGCGGCGGACGGGUGAGUAACACGUGGGUAACCUGCCUGUAAGACUGGGAUAACUCCGGGAAACCGGGGCUAAUACCGGAUGGUUGUCUGAACCGCAUGGUUCAGACAUAAAAGGUGGCUUCGGCUACCACUUACAGAUGGACCCGCGGCGCAUUAGCUAGUUGGUGAGGUAACGGCUCACCAAGGCGACGAUGCGUAGCCGACCUGAGAGGGUGAUCGGCCACACUGGGACUGAGACACGGCCCAGACUCCUACGGGAGGCAGCAGUAGGGAAUCUUCCGCAAUGGACGAAAGUCUGACGGAGCAACGCCGCGUGAGUGAUGAAGGUUUUCGGAUCGUAAAGCUCUGUUGUUAGGGAAGAACAAGUGCCGUUCAAAUAGGGCGGCACCUUGACGGUACCUAACCAGAAAGCCACGGCUAACUACGUGCCAGCAGCCGCGGUAAUACGUAGGUGGCAAGCGUUGUCCGGAAUUAUUGGGCGUAAAGGGCUCGCAGGCGGUUUCUUAAGUCUGAUGUGAAAGCCCCCGGCUCAACCGGGGAGGGUCAUUGGAAACUGGGGAACUUGAGUGCAGAAGAGGAGAGUGGAAUUCCACGUGUAGCGGUGAAAUGCGUAGAGAUGUGGAGGAACACCAGUGGCGAAGGCGACUCUCUGGUCUGUAACUGACGCUGAG